UACCUACGGGGGGCAGCAGUGGGGAAUAUUGGGCAAUGGGCGCAAGCCUGACCCAGCAACGCCGCGUGAAGGAAGAAGGCUUUCGGGUUGUAAACUUCUUUUAUUCGGGACGAAGAAAGUGACGGUACCGAAUGAAUAAGCCACGGCUAACUACGUGCCAGCAGCCGCGGUAAUACGUAGGUGGCAAGCGUUAUCCGGAUUUACUGGGUGUAAAGGGCGUGUAGGCGGGGAAGCAAGUCAGAUG
rnacentral:rRNA from 1 species